rnacentral:rRNA from 1 species
UACGUAGGGUGCAAGCGUUGUCCGGAAUUAUUGGGCGUAAAGAGCUCGUAGGCGGUUUGUCGCGUCUGCUGUGAAAACUCGGGGCUUAACCCCGAGCCUGCAGUGGAUACGGGCAGACUAGAGGUAGGUAGGGGAGAAUGGAAUUCCCGGUGUAGCGGUGAAAUGCGCAGAUAUCGGGAGGAACACCGGUGGCGAAGGCGGUUCUCUGGGCCUUACCUGACGCUGAGGAGCGAAAGCGUGGGAAGCGAACAGG